UUGCAACUAGAUAAUCAUUUCUGUUCAAGAGGCCUUAUCUUCCAGUUACCUGCUCUGUUUACUAUCAGAUGUGGCCCUGCAGGGCACCACUCCUAGAAGACAAACAGAGAAGACUUCCCUGGGCAUCCGGAGAAAUUAGAUGCUUUGUCUUCUCCUCUACUGUCAAGAUCCUUAAACUGUGAGGAAAUUUACUAAGAUGACCAAGAGAAUGUGUUAAUAUUCCCACAUUAAUAUUCUCGUGUUAAUAAAGUGUUUGGGCUUUCUUCAAAA